GGUGAUAGCUGGUUAUCUGAGAAGUGGAUAGAAGUUCAGCCUCAUACGCCCCAGAUCAAUACGUAUAUUAUUAAGAUACUCAAGGGAGAUAUAUGAGAGUUAGUUGAAAGGGGUACAGCCCUUUUAACAAAGGAUACAACCUUUACAGGAGGAUAAAGAUCAUAAUAUAUAAAACAUACUGUUUUAGUGGGCCUAAAAGCAGCCACCUAAAUAGAAAGCGUUAAAGCUCAGACAGAAAGAAGUUUAUUAUACCGAUAAAAAAUCUUAUUCCCCUAAUUAUAUCAGAUCAACCCAUGCCCGCAUGGAAGAGAUUAUGCUAGAAUGAGUAACAAGAAGACCUGCGCUUCUCCUUGCACAAGUGUAAACCAGAUCGGACAAACCACUGGAACUUAACGAACCCAACCCAAGAGGGCAAUGUGAACAACAAAAAUUUCAGGAAGAACUCACAGUUAAAAUGAUCGUUAAUCCCACACUGGAGUGCUAUUUUAUAAAGGAAAGACUAAAGGAUAGGGAAGGAACUCGGCAAACACAAGCCUCGCCUGUUUACCAAAAACAUCGCCUCCUGCAACUAAACUGAGUAUAGGAGGUCCAGCCUGCCCAGUGACUACGGGUUCAACGGCCGCGGUAUUUUGACCGUGCAAAGGUAGCGCAAUCACUUGUCUCUUAAAUAGAGACCUGUAUGAAUGGCUAGACG
rnacentral:rRNA from 1 species